rnacentral:rRNA from 1 species
UACAGAGGUGGCAAGCGUUGUUCGGAAUUACUGGGCGUAAAGGGCGCGUAGGCGGCCUACUAAGUCAGACGUGAAAUCCCCCGGCUUAACCUGGGAACUGCGUCCGAUACUGGAAGGCUUGAAUCCGGGAGAGGGAUGCGGAAUUCCAGGUGUAGCGGUGAAAUGCGUAGAUAUCUGGAGGAACACCGGUGGCGAAGGCGGUUCUCUGGGCAUGAUCUGACGCUGAGGAGCGAAAGUGUGGGGAGCGAACAGG